rnacentral:rRNA from 1 species
GACAGAGGAUGCAAGCGUUAUCCGGAAUGAUUGGGCGUAAAGCGUCUGUAGGUGGCUUUUUAAGUCCGCCGUCAAAUCCCAGGGCUCAACCCUGGACAGGCGGUGGAAACUACCAAGCUGGAGUACGGUAGGGGCAGAGGGAAUUUCCGGUGGAGCGGUGAAAUGCGUAGAGAUUGGAAAGAACACCAAUGGCGAAAGCACUUUACUGGGCUAUUACUGACACUGAGAGACGAAAGCUAGGGUAGCAAAUGGG